GGGGGGGGUGCAAGCGUUAUUCGGAAUUAUUGGGCGUAAAGGGCGCGUAGGCGGGUCUCUAAAGUCAGAUGUGAAAGCCCGGGGGCUUAACCCCGGAAGUGCAUUUGAAACUCAGGGACUUGAGUAUGGGAGAGGGAAGUGGAAUUCCUGGUGUAGCGGUGAAAUGCGUAGAUAUCAGGAGGAACACCAGUGGCGAAGGCGACUUCCUGGACCAAUACUGACGCUAAGGCGCGAAGGCGUGGGGAGCAAACAGGAUUAGAUACCCUGGUAGUCCACGCAGUAAACGGUGAACACUAGGUGUAGCGGGUAUUGACCCCUGCUGUGCCGCAGCUAACGCAUUAAGUGUUCCGCCUGGGGAGUACGAUCGCAAAGAUUA
rnacentral:rRNA from 1 species